rnacentral:rRNA from 1 species
GUGGGGAAUAUUGGGCAAUGGGGGAAACCCUGACCCAGCAACGCCGCGUGAAGGAAGAAGGUUUUCGGAUCGUAAACUUCUAUCCUUGGUGAAGAUAAUGACGGUAGCCAAGAAGGAAGCCCCGGCUAACUACGUGCCAGCAGCCGCGGUAAUACGUAGGGGGCAAGCGUUGUCCGGAAUGAUUGGGCGUAAAGGGCGCGUAGGCGGCCUGGUAAGUCUGGAGGGAAAGUACUGCUGUUAAUGUGGGAAUUGCGUUGGAUACUGGCGGGCUUGAGUGCAGGAGAGGUAAGCGGAAUUCCCGGUGUAGCGGUGAAAUGCGUAGAGAUCGGGAGGAACACCAGUGGCGAAGGCGGCUUACUGGACUGUAACUGACGCUGAGGCGCGAAAGUGUGGGGAGCAAACAGGAUUAGAAACCCCGGUAGUCC